UAAUUUAUAAUAUACACAAACGCAAAUUCAUGUACUUGCAAUAAUAUUGAAGUACGCAUAUUCCUGGAAUUAAUCAUUAAGCACAUGCGCAAAUUUAUCAUAGUGCUCCAAAAAUAAUAAAGUUUGAAAAUUAUUAAAAUGAUGAAAAAAAAAUAAACAUUUAGAAGAAAUAAUUAUUAUUAUUUUGUUGUUGUUGGAUAAUUUGAUUUUUGAUAUGUUUUUUAUAUGGAUAAUAUAAUUUAAUGAGAUAAAAAAUUCCAAGAAUUUGGGAUACUUGGUGCUGGAAGAGACACUGGACAAACCAGAAUAAAGCUUCAAAAGAAACUGAAAAAAAAAUCUAAAUAAAAAUUUCUAUUAUUCACUACUGUCAAAGUUUCUAAAAAUAAAUUGAAAUAAAUCCUCAAUAAAUACGAAGGAUUGUUGUUGUGAAAUUGGAGUUUACAAAAUGACAGAUCCAUCAUUGAAAAUUCAUAAAUAUGUGAAUAUGGAAAAAGGUGAAAUACAAAAUGGAAAAAU